ACAAUUGAGGUAAAGCGGAAUGUGUAGUGUAGCGGUGAAAUGCUUAGAUAUUACACAGAACACCGAUUGCGAAGGCAGCUUACUAAACUGUUACUGACGGUGAUGCACGAAAGCGUGGGGAGCGAACAAGAUUAGAUACCCUGGUAGUCCACGCCGUAAACGAUGAUCACUCGCUGUAUGCGAUACACAGUAUGCGGCCAAGCGAAAGCAUUAAGUGAUCCACCUGGGGAGUACGAUCGCAAGGUUGAAACUCAAAGGAAUUGACGGGGGCCCGCACAAGCGGAGGAACAUGUGGUUUAAUUCGAUGAUACGCGAGGAACCUUACCUGGGCUUAAAUGGGUAGCGACAGCUGCCGAAAGGUGGCCUUCUUCGGACGUUCUUCAAGGUGCUUCAUGGUUGUCGUCAGCUCGUGCCGUGAGGUGUCGGGUUAAGUCCCAUAACGAGCGCAACCCUUAUCGUUAGUUGCCAGCGGGUCAUUCCGGGGACUCUAGCGAGACUGCCACCGUAAGGUGUGAGGAAGGUGAGGAGAACGUCAAAUCAGCACGGCCCUUAUGUCCAGGGCUACACACGUGUUACAAUGGCCAAUACAAAGGGCAGCUACCGGGUGACCGGAUGCUAAUCUCUAAAGUUGGUCUCAAUUCGGAUUGAAGUCUGCAACCAGACUUCGUGAAACUGGAUUCACUAGUACUAGCAUAUCAGCCAUGAUGCGGUGAAUACGUUCCCGGGCCACGUACACCCCGCCGGACAAACAAUGGAAGCUGGGGGUACCUGAAGUAUGUAACACUAAGGAGCGUCCUAGGGUAAAACUAGUAACUGGUGUUAAGUCGAUCCAAGUUA
rnacentral:rRNA from 1 species